AGAUUGAACGCUGGCGGAAUGCUUUACACAUGCAAGUCGAACGGCAGCACGGGGGCAACCCUGGUGGCGAGUGGCGGGAACGGGUGAGUAACACAUCGGAACGUGCCCAUGUCGUGGGGGAUAACGUAGCGAAAGCUACGCUAAUACCGCAUACGAUCUACGGAUGAAAGCGGGGGAUCGCAGGACCUCGCGCGAUUGGAGCGGCCGAUGGCAGAUUAGGUAGUUGGUGGGGUAAAGGCUCACCAAGCCUUCGAUCUGUAGCUGGUCUGAGAGGACGACCAGCCACACUGGGACUGAGACACGGCCCAGACUCCUACGGGAGGCAGCAGUGGGAAUUUUGGACAAUGGGCGCAAGCCUGAUCCAGCCAUUCCGCGUGCAGGAUGAAGGCCCUCGGUUGUAAACUGCUUUUGUACGGAACGAAAAGGCUCUUUCUAAUACAGGAGCUCAUGACGGUACCGUAAGAAUAAGCACCGGCUAACUACGUGUCAGCAGCUA
rnacentral:rRNA from 1 species